rfam:Ipomoea nil DNA, scaffold: scaffold1099, cultivar: Tokyo-kokei standard.
GUCUGGGUGGUGUGGUUGGGUAUCACGCUAGUCUCACAUACUAGAGGUCCCUAGUUCAAACGUGGGCUCAAAUA